rnacentral:tRNA from 1 species
GAAGCUGUAACUCAGUUGGUAGAGUGCCUGCCUAGCAUGCAUGAGGCCUGGGUUCCACCACAGCACCACCA